AUUGAACGCUGGCGGCGUGCUUAACACAUGCAAGUCGAGCGGUAACAGGCGUAGCAAUACGUGCUGACGAGCGGCGAACGGGUGCGUAAUACAUGGGAAUCUGCCUAGUAGUGGGGAAUAACCCGGCGAAAGCCGGGCUAAUGCCGCAUACGAUCCACGGAUGAAAGCGGGGGACCUUCGGGCCUCGCGCUAUUGGAUGAGCCCAUGUCGGAUUAGCUAGUUGGNGAGGUAACGACUCACCAAGGCGACGAUCCGUAGCUGGUCUGAGAGGACGGCCAGCCACACUGGGACUGAGACACGGCCCAGACUCCUACGGGAGGCAGCAGUGAGGAAUAUUGCGCAAUGGGCGAAAGCCUGACGCAGCGACGCCGCGUGGGGGA
rnacentral:rRNA from 1 species